GCGAUGAGGUCAAUGCAAUACACCCCUCUGCAGUCAACAUAUGCCGCCGCUUCAGUGAGAACUUCACAUCUGUUCUCCCAAAUAUGCUUAAACUUGUCAAGGAUUUGCCACUGAAAAAACUUUGCAAAGAGGCAAGAGAGGAUUCCUUGGCUGAGGAUAUUACAGGAACACGUCAGUCACAUAUCAGCAAGGCACCCUUAAAAUUGUAGAAUCUUAUGACCUAAGAAUUGACUUGAGGGGUGGACUCCUUCUCUUGCCAUCCAUCUUCAAGGAGAAGAUUGAGGAUUUCAUUAUUCAUGUUGAGAAUAAUCCUCUAACUCCAUAUCCAACUGUUCAACUUAAAGACCAAGACUGGAAAAUUGCCCUGUCCAGACAGUGUUGGAGUGUCAUCGAAGGAAUGGAGGUUUGUUCCUGCAUAUCAGUGGAUGAAGCCUAUAUCGCAGCUUUCUGCAUAUACUUCGUCUUCAACAUGACAUAUCCUGCAUACUUUCAAAAGACACUGACCUUUCUCCAGAGGUGCAUCACACACAUCAUGGAGGAUGGAGACAAACCCCUGCCAGUAACUGUAACUCAAGUGGUUAACCUUCUUUACUGAUAAUGCCUAGAAUGCAUCAGUGUUCGAAAUGUUCAAAGAGGACCUUGACUCUAAGGAAACUGAUUCAGCACAUUGGACUGGUGCAUGCCCAUGUACCUCAUUUCAACAUAACCUUAGGGAUAACUAACUGCCAGUCGGCUUUUUGCAAAUAUCCUUCUUUUAGGCAGCAUGUUUAUCGCAAACACAAAAACAAUAUUUCCAAUUGCUCUGAAACACCUGAAGAAGCUUCAGAAGAACUAGUUGAACACACACAAACAGUUCAGCAGCCUACACCACCUAGUAUGGACAGUUUGCUUGAGAAUUUAAGAGACCAUUUGUUUGGCUUCAUUCUCAAGUGUACUGAAAAAAACAAUCUCUCCAUUUCUGUCCAAAAAGAUAUUGCUGAUGACCUUCAA